GAGGCACUACUCGGUUUGUUCGUUGAUUGUUAGUUACGUUCAAGUUCAUAGAGAGCUUGUUUGAGGUCGUAGACUUAGUUUCAUAUUUGUCAUUCCAUUCUAGCUCUGUUGUUUGGGUUCGUUAUGUUCCAUUUGAAGUUUUUGGACAGAUUUGAUUACGUCGAGCUAAGGUCUCCGGUCCGAAAUUUUGGUUCGAUAUUGAUUAAAGUCGUUGUUCAAAGAUUCGAGUUUCCAUCAAAGUCCCAGCAUAUUUGUUUUUCGUUCGAGUUCGUCGUUGUUCCGAUCAGGUUAGUUGGUUUAAGUUUCAUCUUUGUCCAUAUUUUAUUUGAUAUUUUCGGAUCUAAAAUCAGUAUAUGUUUGAUUAUGUUCUUGUUCGUUGGUUAUCAUUUUCUUGUUUAUUUCUUCAGUUUGUUAUUAUUUAAAGGAAUUUAGUUUUAAUAUAGAAGUAUGUUAGUGUAAUAAAUCUUUCAUCUUGGUUGCAAUUCUUGUUUAUUUCUUCAGUUUGUUUUUAUUUAUAGGAAUUUCGUUUUAAUAUAGAAGCAUGUUAGCUUAAUAAAUCUUUCUUCUUAGUUGCAAAGUUAGAUUUAAUUUAAAGUUUAAUUGAUUAUUGAGUUUAGUGAAUGGAAUCCAUUUUUUUAUUCUGUUUAAGUCUAUUUGGAUCUGAGUUAGAAGUUUGAAUUUGUUUGUUUGAUCUGUUUCAGUUUAAUUUGAAAUUGAACUUAGUGAUUUGAAUAUAUUUUCUUGUUAUUGUUGUUGAACCUGAUAAUAUAUUUGUUGUUAUUAUUAUUCGGUCAAAAUAAAUUUUGUUCUUUGUUGUUCAUUUAGUUUAAAUUGUUAUUGAAUUUGAUUAAGAAUUUGGUUAUAGCUGUAGUAAGUUGGUAUUUUUUCUGAUAAUUUUGGUGCAGAUUGUAGGGAUGGGUUUAAAUGGUAAUUUUUAAUAAUUUCAGGGGGUAAUACGGGAAUUUAUAGCUUGUUGAAUUAUUUAUGUUGAGUGCUUGGUCCGCUAGAUAUAAAAGUAUGACUAAAAUAUUAUGGUGGGGGACAAGACAAAGGGUAGUGGGGGACAAGACAUAAUUAUUAAAGUAAAAGAGGGUGGGGACUGUGAGGUCCACGUUUGACUGCUUUGGGAAUUAGAAAUAGUAAGGUAAUAAUAAAAGUGUAGUAUUAAUAAUUAAAGGAAGAGGAAAAGAGGGUCUUGUUUCAAAUAAAUAAGAGUCAUUUGGCUAAUUUUAGGAGGAGGAAUUUGGAGAGAGAAAAUAUUUUCAGAACUUAAGAGAACUAAAACAGAGAAUAAGAAAAGACUGAGAGUUGAAAAGAGUAGAAAGCUGAAAGCCCCACUGUUCAUUUGAAACUUCUCUUCUUGCUUUAUUGAUUUUAUUUCUCUUGAUUCAAGUAAACUAAGACCGAUCUUAAGUAACUCUAGUAUGUCUUUGUUCAUUUGGCUUGUGUUGAUAUUGCUGUGAGUCGAAGUACAUUUCUGUGGGAUUUUUCUGGGUUGAUUUUUACUGGGUUUUGCUGAAAUCUGCUGCUGGGUUUAGCUAUUGAUGUUGCUGUUUUGCUGUAUUGAUUACUGCCUUGCUGAUUUCUCACCUUCUGCCUUUUGCUUCUAAUAUCAGGUACACAACUGGUACACCUUGUAAGUUGAUAACAUGAAGCAUGAAUACAAAUGAAGAGUUGAAGUUUUAAUUUUAUUUAGUUUUGUUAGUGAAUGUAUUUAGGCCACUUUAUAUGCAAUUUUUAUAUAAGUUUCUACCAUGUUCGUAUGACGGGAUAACUUGUAGUGAUGUAUUAAAUAAUAUUCUGCUUUAAUUUGGUCAUUAUAUAAUAUAUGUUCAAGCAUGUUUAUUACUGUCAAACUGUUUAAUAAUUGAGGAAAUAGUAUGAGUUGAUCUUUACUGAAUUGGCUUGGUCAAAUUGUUCAAUUCACUAGUUAAUCGCAAACAUGUAGCUAAAUUUUUGUAAGGUUUUAAUUUGAAUUAAUUUUGUGAAUUAGGCAUUAAGGUAUGAUUUGAGUUCAGAUAAGAUGGUUUAACAUUUCGAUUUAAUAAACUUUCAAAUAAGC
rnacentral:lncRNA from 1 species